UACAGAGGGUGCGAGCGUUGUCCGGAAUCACUGGGCGUAAAGGGCGCGUAGGUGGCGCCCCAAGUCCGUGGUGAAAGCUCGAUGCUCAACAUCGAGUCGGCCACGGAAACUGGGGGGCUCGAGCACUGUAGAGGCAGAUGGAAUUCCGGGUGUAGCGGUGGAAUGCGUAGAGAUCCGGAAGAACACCGGUGGCGAAGGCAGCCUCCUGGGCCAGUACUGACGCUCAUGCACGAAAGCGUGGGGAGCAAACAGG
rnacentral:rRNA from 1 species